rnacentral:sRNA from 1 species
UACCUCCAGCUCCAGGGGACCUGAUGACAUCUUUUGGACUCUAUAGGAAUCUGUACUCAUAUACAGAUAUAUACACAUAAUUAAAAAAAUUUAAAAAGCACUUAAGAGGCAAGAUGUGUAGCUGAGAGAAAUAACAAAACCCCAGUUUCCCAUAUUUUUUGUUGAGGUGCUGGACGGGCAAACCCACCGAGAAAGUGAGAAAACAUGCGGCGAACAGCCACACUGGAACCGUGCCGGAACACGAAGCUCGGCUUCCCUUUUCUGCUGACCAGGAAGCUGUUUUCCACUGGGAAACGGACAUUGCGCGACUCGCUUUGAUUUUCGCUGAGAGCCUCGCUAAAACGCCACGCUUUAGGGAUGGCCAAAAAUAGGUGUUGGGGCAGUAAUUGUAUCUCUCAGACACACGGAGUGAGCUGCUGAGAGAGCUGAUUGCACUGACAGCAGGAAGAAGCUGCUUCUCAAAGGCUCGUGAGUGAUGUGCAAUGUGGAGAGCCAUCUCCCUGCAGCAUUUAUGAACGUCCUCAGCUCUUGAGUUUGACCCUCACACAGCAAACAGACCUUCCUUGUCAGUGGAUUACCAGCGUAUAAUUUUUGCCUAAGCUGGAAAAGCACAGAAAUCAGAAGGAAUCAUCUCUACUCUGAGACUAAAACAUGUGUAAACAUUAUCUCGUCCUACCUUUCCUGGAUGAUGAUAACUCAUGGCUGAGGUACUGCCUGGAACGAUGUGGUGCUUUGAAAAUUGCUGCUGAAUACAUCUUGGUUGAUGCCGUUUUUAACAACACGCUCAAUUACUUAAAGCAACAUAGGCAAGUUUUUAAUCUUCCUACGGAGUAGAUUAGCCAGGUAGCCGCUAAACUCAGAAUAUUUCUUCUGAUCUUCCAGUUUGUUGUCACCAAGAAAGGGAAGUGAGGGACAGCAGAGGCAGACAUAGAAAGGGGAUUUGGACAACUUCAAUUCACAAAAAGGGGGUGGUUCUGCCAGCUGAACACCCAAUGCCUCUCCCUCUAUUUUGUCCUAAUAUCUGUGCUAAGACAAAUGCUAUUAUCUCCCAGGCCCUUUGGUAGCUAUACAAAAGGUGUUCCUAAACCGUCCAAUCAAAUGGACAUGUAUUUCUGUGCCUGUUUUCUCUAGAGAGACACCCAAACCAGAGUCACCCCAGACAGGGUGUCUGCUAAGAGGCUGCUGCCUCCAUGUCUAACGACUGCAGCAUCUCAGGCACUAUGAGAGUCUGAUCUCAGCCUCUGGAUUUUGGAAACAUACUUGUUACAGCAGCCUCUCUUUCUCUAUUAUGGCGGCCACUGUGAGAGGUUGCUCCUGAAGGAGACUAUGGCAUAGUUUUAUGAUACUUCCCUAAGUAGAAGUUUAUUGAGGUUGCUCACUGGCUCUAAGAAGAUAAGAACAGACGAAUAACUGUGAACCACAAUGGAAGAGGCUUCACGGUAGCUAGCAAGUGAGGCCACGAAGCAGAGAGGCUCAAAAGCUCCAGAAAGAAAGCAACACAGUUGCCAUUACAGUGUUCAGUGAAAGAGGUGAGAGUUUAAAGGAAACACUAGACCUGAAGGAAUAGUACUCAAACAAACAAAAAACAAAACAGUGUCCUGGUGAUUCUCGAAAAGCAUUAAUUACUAUGUAACUUCCCCCUCCUCUGCUUCUGCCAUAUACAUUCUCUGCAGGCCACCGGACAGCCUCUUUCUCCCGAGAAUCAGCAUUCUCACUGCAGUGAAGCAGGGGUCACCAGCAGCAUCUGGGUCUGGCUCACUGGUGUUAUUCUUUUCCACCAUCAAUAUUGAUUGUUCUUAUAGCAUGAAUCAAGACCAGACAUUACAAAGGAAAUCAUCGCUUCAGAAAAGCCGACAUACACCGUGGCGAUUAUACUAGACUUAGGACAUUUAACAAUGUUCCAUAUGCUUGCAAAGUGCUGAUGAAGUAUUUACAAGUUUUAACCAUAGAAAAUAUAUGUAAUAUUAAGAGAGAUAUUACCUUGAUUCAGCUUAUAUCUCAAAGUCUAUUUGUAGAAGAACAUUCUAUUGUACAGAUGAGUUACGUAAUUUCCAUUUGUCAGUUAAAUACAGGAGCUCUCACUUGUUAAACUAUAUAAAAAUACUGUGCACUGUUUAUGGACACUGGUUAAAGAAUAAGUGUUUGAAAAAUCUCCUCACUUUGGUGGGGGAAUGAAGCUUCAGAGGAUUAAUGAGCUCAGGGAGGGGGAGGAUGAGGUGUGGGCUUAGGAAGGCAACGGCAUUCAUAUUUCCUGUGAUUCUCAGAGAUUAACAAGAGAUGAUACAACAUAAAUGUGGUUAAAUACUAAGUCUGUGAACUGUGGGAGAUGGGUGGGUGGCUGUGUUCAUCCUCAGCAGUAUGGAUUGAAGCUAGGGCCAUUUCUAAGGUGCAGAAGGACCCUCUGGAGCCUGCGCACAGGGAUAGGACGCUGAGGACCUCUGCGUCUCCUCAGCCAUGAAUCCACCGCGUGGUCACAAUAGGAGUUAAGGUGGACAUGCGACUCACUUAAGAUGGAAACAUAAAUCAAUAGAACAUGAUUUAACCUGGAAGUCACAACAAAAGCUGGCCAAGAGGGAAGAGAAUGGCAGCAGGGGAUUCUGGGAGCUUCGAAAGAUGCUGUAGGAGUGGACAUCCAUGUCACCGGAUACCAGAAGGUCCCAAACACUAGAGAUGAACUCACUCCAAAACUGCAAAAAAGCUGGGGCUAGAUACUGCCAGCGAACGCACAACUGUCCUACUUGAUCUGCCUUGGCUGCUAAGCCUAGGGAGAAAGUAGACAAGAGAGCUGGCAGGCAUACAACCAAACAUCAGACAUCUUCAGGAAGAAAUAACUCAUUGUAUAAAAAAAAAAGUCUGUGCACGGCACAGCUGGCCCAGCGCCUACUAUUCUCAGGGUGCAAAAUGAAAAUAAAUCCAGACGGUUAGAACAAGAUAGCAAGUGGUCUAAGGAUAGGAUAGGUGCUGGGCAAUGAGCAGAACAAAGACUCUACCAUUACUUGAGACGAGAUAUUCAGGGGGAAGCCACGGUGUAGGUAGCCUGGCUCCCCACAGAUCUAGAUCGAGGCACAAGCAAAUGUGCACUGGAAGUUUGUGGGAACACUGUAAGAAGAGGUGGGGUUAGCAAAGUGGGGAGGCCCAGGGAAGAAGUACCCUGCCGAGGUAGCCAGACCUGCCAGGCCCUGAGUCAAGGGAGCUGCAGAGAGCACCUCUCUAGCUGUAGAGAAGCUGCACGAGGACCACAAACCCAAGGUUAGGAGGUGACUGACUGACUGACUGACUGACUGACUGGGCAGUAGGAGGAUCAGCCUUGGCAAGAGGAUGACAACAGAGCUGUGCCCCAAUGUGAGGUCCCAUGUGCUCCCUGCAGGAAGCGGAUGUCCUGAUGAUGGUUGGGGGUGGAAGAGUAGCUAAGGGAGGCAAAGGGCAGUCUAGGUUUCUGUUUAGGCAUGGGUAUUAUAGAACUGCCAUUUCCUGGAUGGAAGUGACCAUGGGUCCAAUGAUCUGCAAGUCACCCCUCCCUGGUAUUCUGAAGCCACUUAAACUGAUGCAUGUGCAGCCAAGAGACAGCCAAGCUCUAAACUCCUCUGUUAAAGAAUAGGGAGAAAGACAAGAGAUCAGAUCAUUCUUUAAAAGAACAGAGAGGAAGUUAGUGUUUAAAAGGGGCAUUUUCUACCCUCAACAUCCCUCUAAACAUGGUUUUUAGUAGAAGCUAAAACUCUGUGCUUUCUGUUUCCACUCAGCGCUAACUAUGGUGAGUCACUUUUUCAGGCCCUGUUACGCAUCACAAGCCCAGCAUUUGUCACUGUUUGGUGUAGAGCAGCACCUGAAAGCCUGUGGCUUACUUCUUAGUAGGAGGUGGUGGCAUCAAGUGGGGCUUAGUGAAGACAAUUUAGAUAAAUAGGGGAAUAGCCUUGAUGGGAGUACUUGAAUCUCAUCCUCUCUCUUCUUUCUUCCUGGCCACCAAGUCUGACACAUUUUCCCUAUGAGCAGCUACCAUGCAUAAGCCCCAAGGCAGCAGGCUAAUGAAUUAUGAAUUGAAACCUUCAAAAUGUGACCUGAGAUAUACCUUUUCACUUUUUAAAUGGGAGGGAAGGAGGGAAGGAGAAAGGGAGAGAGAGGGAGGGAAGAAAAGGGGGGAGAGACAGAGACAGAGAUGGAACCCAGGAUCACGUACACAAUAGGACAGGCCGACACUCUAUCAUUAAGCUACAUCCCAGACUGUCUUACUUUUCUUUCUAACUUUGACAUACAUGUGCACAUGUGUGGGUGUGCAUGCAGAGACCACCCAUGAACAGUAGAGCUCCAUUGCUUUCCACCUUAUUUUGUUCUCUUACUCUCUCGUGAACCUGGCUAUCACUGAGUCCCUGGGAUCCUCCUGUUUCCACCUCCCAAUGUUGGAAUUAUAAGCACACAUUGCCACGUUUUUUUAAAACAUGGGUGCUGGCAAGUCUGACCUCAGCUUUUCAUGCUUGUGUGGCAAAUACUUUGCCCUCCCCCCAAACCCCGCCCAAGCCAUCUUUCUAGCCUCCUUGUCUUAAGAGAUGUUGUUUCAGUAACACAUGCUGAUAAACACAUCUCUAAUUGGACAAUUAGGAAUCUAACGACUCUGAUCCAGACGGUUUGGGCGCUGACACGAUGAUGCUUAUACCUCCCACAGUGAAGCCUUUCAGAUUUUGAACUUUUGAAUCAAGACCUAUCAGCUAGAAAACCAAACACAAAUACUACAGAUAUUUCUUGUGCCAAGUAUUUUAGAUAAGGGGCACUGAUUUGAGCUCUCAGUGCAAAUACUUUGGGAGGAGAAGUCACUGAAGCUUUAACAUAAAUGUCUCUGUGGUAGCUUCCACAGGUUGCUCUCGGAGGGACAUAAUAUGACUAUUCUAUUUCUAAUAUAAUUUUCCCAUUUGUUUAUUUCAUGGGGGGGGACAUAUGGAGGUCAGAGGACAACUUGUACAGUCGUUUCUCUUCUGCCAUGUGGGCCACAGGAACGGAACCUGGGUCCUCGUGCAAAAUGUGUUUUUACAUGCCAAGUCACCUCAUGAGUCUAAUGAGAACAUUUUGAUUAUUACUUUUCACAAGUACACAGAGAAAAGAAAAAAAACUAUUUGAUAAUUCGUCCCCACUGUGGAUUGAGGUGCACAGAGCUCUACUGGGUAAGUGCUACACAACUGAGCCAUGGGAAAGGAAUGCAAAGCUAGGCAGCUUCACCAGGAACUGGUAUUUGUUUCUGGCAGGGUCAUGCCCUUCUGGGAAUCAAUGUAGUAACAUAGUCUUCUGAAAGCCAUAAAAUUCCCAGAUGCAUUGAUUCACUAUUUCUUCUGCUAGUUCCAUUAAAAAAAACAAAUCAAAACAAACAAACAAACAAAAAAACUUCCAAAGGAAAUCAGUUCCUGAGACAAUGGUGUCCUGUAUGAGUAGAAGGGAGUGAAGUGACAGACUCAGAGCUUCAUCAGGAAAUGGCUGAGAGCCUGCACCGUGCUCCCUCUCCUCUCCUCGGCUUCUCUUACUUCUCCUAAAGACUUUGGGUGGUGGUGAUUUUGAAUCCACCCAGCACAGGGAAAGAAGACUCUCUGAGGCCGGAGAACUGUGUCAGAAUCCAACGUCCAACGGACACAACCUAGAGUGACUCCCUGCCUGCACGGCAGAUAGAACCCAGGGUCUGGCAUGCCAGGCAAGGGCUUUCCACCGAGCUGGAUGCCCUGUUUCCAUAAGAGGAAGCACAUCCAGCCUCAUCACGGCUUUAUGGAAACACAGCAAAAUUUUAAGCAUGCGAUGCUAAAUAGAGAGGGAAGAAAUCAAAUCUCUCUCUCUCUCUCUCUCUCUCUCUCUCUCUCUCUCUCUCUCUCUCUGUCUCUCUCUGUGUGUGUGUGUGUGUGUGUCAAAGUGACUCUACCUCUAAGAAAGGCUCAAAGUGACAAGAAACAUUGGAGCCUAGAAGCAUUUGAUGGGAUUCCCAGUCUGUUCAUCCACACCCUAGAGGCACAAAUUGGACUCAGUGGGUAAAAAUACUAAGGUGGGGAUUAAGUUCAGAGCAAUUGAUGGCCCUGUGGUCUUUGGAGGAGUUAGAGUAGGGGAGUGAGGUGGAUAUGAUAAAAUUUACUGUAUGCUGCAUGAGAUUUCUCAAAGAAUGAAUAAAAAUAUUAUUUUUAAAUUCCCAUCUGCUAUUCAUUUUAUAAUUUUGGAUAAAUAACGUAAAGAUACAGUUUAUACAAAAUCGAUUUCUAACAAAAGCGAGUUCUACCCUACAAGCACAGCCCUCGGGGUAUAUUUUCUUAUGAGAGAUUUGCGAAUGUUCCAGAAACAGCCUUCUUGAGCUUUUCCAGGCUAGGACACGCCUGGUUCCUCGUACUUGUGGGAACACUGACACCAUGUGGUGGAGUCAGCUUCAUACACAGGCUUCUGGCAACCUCUGGGAGUUCAUUGUCUUGCCCAGAGACCAGUGGCAGCUGGGAAGGAAGGCAGGCUGGAAGGCAUGGGAAGUAAGACAGAAUUUCUUUAAGAUGGUAUUUCUAAUAACGGUUCCUAAGUUGUCCUGCGUUCAUGGAAGCAAACGUUUCUCAGUUGUCCUGUGUUCACGGGCUUCCUUGAUAUUUUCUGGAGUCAUAAAUGUUUGGCAUUAACCAGAGCCUGAGGGUGGAGACUUCAGCAAGAUAUGGAACCCACCACAAACACAGGAGGCUCUGCCCACACAGGGGAGACAAUGCCAUGCUAUCACAGCUUUUCCUGUGAACCGAACAAAGCAAGUGAAUAAACUGUAAUUUUAAUUUUAUUUAUGUUUUGAUCAUUGAUUCUUUAACACUUCAUCAAAAAGCCUUUGGCUUCAUGGUAGCAAGCAAGACUACACUAUCAGCAAGGCUCUUGUUAAUAAAUUUUAGAGAUUGGUGCAUUUAUAGAAACUGUUUCUAACCAGAUGAUGGGGAUUAUUAUUACAGGUAGAUUAUCUCUCAUGGCUGACUCUAAACGAGGUCUGGGCCUUGCGCGGGGUCCCUUCACUAAUGACAAGUUCUCUGACAUUCCCCUCCGUGGGCAUAGAAAGAGGAGCUUCCCGGAAAGUGUGGGAUUUCAAGAGAAGCAUUUGGAGGGAUUAGCAAGGUGCUAAGUGUAUUUUAGGAGAUACAAAUGACAAAGGAAGCUAAAUCUUGGAAGAAGGUAAACUUCGAUUUACAGAAGCUGAAUUUGCCUGAGAAGUGGGUUACACAGACCACCAUCUGUCUACACUGAUACUGUUGUUUGUUUGUUUGUGUCAUAGGCAUAAUGUACUACUUAAAGCUUCUCAAAAAAAAAAAAAGCAAUCAACAAUCUUUGCAAUCUCCCUGAUAAGGUUCUACUGGACUGUGCUCAGAAGGCUUCCCGUGGGUGGUGCUGAGCACCACAUAGGUUGUAAAGCAAUAAACAGUCAUCCACAGGGCCUGGAAACACUUGAAAUCAAGGGAUGGAUCACUUGUAGCUUAUCACUGGAUCUAUAUAUUUGGUAGUCUCUCAGUCUAUGUAGUACUACUUGGAGGAGGACUAGUUGCCUUCAACUGUUCAAAACAGAAAAUGUACAACACUGUGAGGACUCCUGGGACCCCAACUGCUGAUGCAAUUGGAUCCUGCCUGCCGGUCAGAUAAGGGUGUACUUGCAGGCUAGCGGGCAACAGCAAAGUGACAAGAGAUAGUAGCACGGUGUUCUAAGGAAUGCUCUGUCACCUUUGGAAAGGGUACCAAAUACACAAAGGCACUCAACACGUUUGACAGAUUUGAUCAAUAAUCCACCUCUGAAAGUAGGGUCUUUCUCUGUCUGUGAAUGGAAGAUUUAACAGAGAUCAUACAACUAGGCUAACCAUGGAGGUCAGGAAGGGCUUGGGUAGCAGACAUUUCAUUAGAUGCUAUUCAGUCCUAGGGCUUCCACUGUUUUCACAAUCUAUGGCUAACCAUAUCAAAGGUUCAGUUAUAGACUUCGUUUUACAUUAUCCCUUUUUAACAGUAUAUUAUUUCACGUGGAUUUUUCUAAUAGAAAUCACAUAUCCCAGAGAAUACUCCACAUCCGUGGGUAAUCAUCUUUUCCUUCCCUCACAAUUCUGUAGUCCUCGGUCAUACUGAAUCAUGGUUGGUUAACCUCUCAGUCUCCCACUGAAGGGCCCCUGGGUGUUGUUUAGCUCCUGCUAUUACAAAUAAUACCACAAAAAUGGCCUCCUGCAUCACCACAAACUCUGGCAAAGGAGCUUUUGUGACCAAUAGAUUUCUAUUUGCCGGAUUUCUGAUGUAAAACAAUAAAUCUACUUAUAGUUUGGCUAGAUAACACUAUUCUCCGCUUUAAAUGCGAUAGCAUUUUACAUUCUGCUCAGUAACGCAUUUGUAAGUCCCUACAGAUUAGCCAGCAGAGGUGAUGGGCAAACCUCCGAAGUUUUGUUAUCUAGUAGGUAAUAAAAGAGUUUUGCUCUAAGGGUAAAUGGUAUUUCUCAUGACUAAGCUUCAACUAUUUUCAAAUAAUUUAUAUGCCAGGUACAUCAGUUUUCUCUCUGCCCUGUCUAUGCACUCCGAUCAACGUAGCACCUUAAAGAUGCCUUCUCCACAGGAUAUUCAGAGUUUGUCAGUUUUUAUACAACUCUCACACUGGUGUUUACUUUCGCCGCCCCUCCCUUUCCCUGGAUCGCUUUCUUAUGCCUUUAUUCUUCGUGCUGCUAUGCAAGAUUUGCCCCCAACAGUCAAAUUAAAACUUGAGGUGGGAGACACAGUUAGAAAAGUAUUCACGUGUGUGUGUGUGUGUG